rnacentral:snoRNA from 1 species
AUCCCAUGAUGUGGACACUUUUGCAGCAUAUUCUUAAAACUAUUCCAAGCUUCAUCAAAGUUCUCUGAGUUGCCUUGACGAAAGACAAAUAUUUCAUGCUUGAGCUU